GACGAACGCUGGCGGCGUGCCUAAUACAUGCAAGUAGAACGCUGAAGAGAGGAGCUUGCUCUUCUUGGAUGAGUUGCGAACGGGUGAGUAACGCGUAGGUAACCUGCCUUGUAGCGGGGGAUAACUAUUGGAAACGAUAGCUAAUACCGCAUAACAAUGGAUGACACAUGUCAUUUAUUUGAAAGGGGCAAUUGCUCCACUACAAGAUGGACCUGCGUUGUAUUAGCUAGUAGGUGAGGUAACGGCUCACCUAGGCGACGAUACAUAGCCGACCUGAGAGGGUGAUCGGCCAAACUGGGACUGAGACACGGCCCAGACUCCUACGGGAGGCAGCAGUAGGGAAUCUUCGGCAAUGGGGGCAACCCUGACCGAGCAACGCCGCGUGAGUGAAGAAGGUUUUCGGAUCGUAAAGCUCUGUUGUAAGUCAAGAACGAGUGUGAGAGUGGAAAGUUCACACUGUGACGGUAGCUUACCAGAAAGGGACGGCUAACUACGUG
rnacentral:rRNA from 1 species